CCUACGGGUGGCUGCAGUGGGGAAUAUUGCGCAAUGGGGGCAACCCUGACGCAGCAACGCCGCGUGAUUGAAGAAGGCCUUCGGGUUAUAAAGAUCUUUAAUCGGGGACGAAUAUUGACGGUACCCGAAGAAUAAGCUCCGGCUAAAUACGUUACAGCAGCCGAGGUAAGACGUAGGGAGCAAGCGUUAUCCGGAGUUGCUGGGGGUAAAGGGCGUGUAGGCGGGAAUGCAAGGCAGAAGUGGAAUCUGGGGGCUUAACCCCCAACCUGCUGUUGGAACUGCGUGUCUUGAGUGAUGGGGAGGCAGGCGGAAUUCCCAGUGUAGCGGUGAAAUGCAUAGAUAUCGGGCGGAACACCAGUGGCGAAGGCGGCCUGCUGGACAUUAACUGACGCUGAGGCGCGAAAGCGCGGGGAGCAAACAGGAUUAGAUACCCGAGUAGUC
rnacentral:rRNA from 1 species